AUGUAUAAGUGUAACCUGCCAGACAGGGAAACUGCGUACGGCUCAUUACACCAGCUAUAAUUUACUUGACCUUGACUUCUUACUUGGAUAACUGUGGUAAUUCUAGAGCUAAUACAUGCACCAAAGCUCCAAUCUCCCCAGAGCGGAGCGCAUUUGUUCGCCACAAAACCAAGCGCCUUCGGGCGUCCAGUGUUGACUCAGAACAACUAAGCUGAUCGCACGGUCUUGUACCGGCGACGUGUCUUUCAAGUGUCUGCCUUAUCAACUUUCGAUGGUAGUGUACCUGACUACCAUGGUGAUGACGGGUAACGGAGGAUAAGGGUUCGACUCCGGAGAAGGGGCCUGAGAAAUGGCCACUACGUCUAAGGAUGGCAGCAGGCGCGCAAAUUACCCACUCUCAACAUGAGGAGGUAGUGACGAGAAAUAACGAGACCGAUCUCUUAUGAGGCCGGUCAUCGGAAUGGGUACAACUUAAACCCUUUAACGAGUAUCUAUGAGAGGGCAAGUCUGGUGCCAGCAGCCGCGGUAAUUCCAGCUCUCAAAAUGCAUAGAAUUAUUGCUGCGGUUAAAAAGCUCGUAGUUGGAUCUGUGCUAGCCGGCCGGUCCACCCACUGGGUGUGCACUGGUUCGGUUGGCUUUUCUGCCGGUCUUUCCCCGGCGUUGGCCUUCACCGGUCGGCGUCGGUGGGCUGGCGAGUUUACUUUGAACAAAUCAGAGUGCUUCAAACAGGCGUUUCGCUUGAAUGUUCGUGCAUGGAAUAAUAGAAGAGGAUUUCGGUCCGAUUUUAUUGGUUUUGCUGACCGAGAUAAUGGUUAACAGAGACAAACGGGGCCAUUCGUAUUGCUACGUGAGAGGUGAAAUUCUUGGACCGUAGCAAGACGGACUACAGCGAAAGCAUUUGGCAAGAAUGUCUUCAUUAAUCAAGAACGAAAGUCAGAGGUUCGAAGGCGAUCAGAUACCG
rnacentral:rRNA from 1 species